GGAGCUGCAUAGCUUCGCGCCAGAGCAGGCGAAGGAGCACCAACCUGCAACAUUGGGCGAAAUCCCACAGCGGAACGAAUUGGCUCCUUGUCAUAAGACCUCCCUGCAAACAGAUCAGAACAAACGCUCAAUAAAGGCUAGAUACAAUCUUAACUGCGUAAAUGUCCUGCAAGAAAGUCAGGAGGAAUCCCCAGUAAAUAGGAGGAGUCCUAAGAAGGGAGACCAAGUGUGGCCUUGAAGUUUCCCAUCAACACCACCUAGACAGACUGAGCAGGCGCACAGAUUCACAGGUGUCCUCACUGUAGGCAUAAAAAGGACUGAGCCAUCCUUAGGAGUUGCAUGCAGCCCUGUGUAUCUUCUCAGGUGAUCCUGAACGCCUUUGCCGCAGGAAGAACUCUAGGAUUGGUAAGUCUUGCAAUAAGCUUUUUAUGUCUGUCUAUAACGGUGUGUUAAGAUAGGUCUGGAGGACAGAGUGUGCUACUGCAGCAAAUACUAGUUUGCAUCUUUAAGACUACUGAGAGAUAGAAUAGCAAAGUACGGUAUUUGCAAAAAUACUGUGUGAGCAGAGACAGAAACAUGGGAACCAGUGUAAAUGCAGGACUCCCAACUAUAGGCCCCAUAAGGCAAAAAACAGACGAGCUGAAGCUGUAGAGACCAAAGUCAAUUUAUGUGCUGUGUUUGCACAAAGAAGUAUGCAGAGAGAGCUUGGGGUGUGGUGGUGGAAGAGAGGUUUUGUAUUCAACUUUCACUCUUCUUAGCAUUU